UACGAAGGGGGCUAGCGUUGCUCGGAAUCACUGGGCGUAAAGCGCACGUAGGCGGCUUUCUAAGUCAGGGGUGAAAUCCUGGAGCUCAACUCCAGAACUGCCUUUGAUACUGGAGGGCUUGAGUCCGGAAGAGGUGAGUGGAACUCCGAGUGUAGAGGUGAAAUUCGUAGAUAUUCGGAAGAACACCAGUGGCGAAGGCGGCUC
rnacentral:rRNA from 1 species